rnacentral:rRNA from 1 species
GAUGAACGCUGGCGGCGUGCCUAAUACAUGCAAGUCGAGCGAACAGACGAGGAGCUUGCUCCUCUGACGUUAGCGGCGGACGGGUGAGUAACACGUGGAUAAUCUACCUAUAAGACUGGGAUAACUUCGGGAAACCGGAGCUAAUACCGGAUAAUAUAUUGAACCGCAUGGUUCAAUAGUGAAAGACGGUUUUGCUGUCACUUAUAGAUUGAUCCGCGCCGCAUUAGCUAGUUGGUAAGGUAACGGCUUACCAAGGCGACGAUGCGUAGCCGACCUGAGAGGGUGAUCGGCCACACUGGAACUGAGACACGGUCCAGACUCCUACGGGAGGCAGCAGUAGGGAAUCUUCCGCAAUGGGCGAAAGCCUGACGGAGCAACGCCGCGUGAGUGAUGAAGGUCUUCGGAUCGUAAAACUCUGUUAUUAGGGAAGAACAAAUGUGUAAGUAACUAUGCACGUCUUGACGGUACCUAAUCAGAAAGCCACGGCUAACUACGUG